AAGCAGAUGAGGAUGAUACUGGCGAAGUGAUUUCUCAUAGUAAUAACGAUUAUAAUAACAAUAAUAGUAGUGGGUAUCAUCAGAAUGAAGAGGAUGAUGAUGAUUAUAAGGACCUUUUUGGGUCUGAUAACGAAGAUUAUGCUAAAACACUUUCCAAGAGUCGUUUCCCAGUUCCUGUUUUACCCCCUAUACGUAACAAUAACCACCAACCAAGAGGAGGAUUUGGCCGGGGUCGCUGGCAAAAUGAUAGAGGAGCCGGCAUCCUUCCGCGACCGGGACCUU
rnacentral:misc_RNA from 1 species